rnacentral:rRNA from 1 species
UACAGAGGUCGCAAGCGUUGUUCGGAUUCAUUGGGCGUAAAGGGCGCGUAGGUGGCGCCGUAAGUCGGGUGUGAAAUCUUGGAGCUUAACUCCGAAACUGCAUUCGAUACUGCCGUGCUUGAGGACUGGAGAGGAGACUGGAAUUUACGGUGUAGCGGUGAAAUGCGUAGAUAUCGUAAGGAAGACCAGUGGCGAAGGCGGGUCUCUGGACAGUUCCUGACGCUGAGGCACGAAGGCCAGGGGAGCAAACGGG